rnacentral:rRNA from 1 species
AGCGAACGCUGGCGGCAGGCCUAACACAUGCAAGUCGAACGAACUCUUCGGAGUUAGUGGCGGACGGGUGAGUAACACGUGGGAACGUGCCUUUUGGUUCGGAAUAACUCAGGGAAACUUGUGCUAAUACCGAAUGUGCCCUUCGGGGGAAAGAUUUAUCGCCAUUAGGGCGGCCCGCGUCUGAUUAGCUAGUUGGUGAGGUAACGGCUCACCAAGGCGACGAUCAGUAGCUGGUCUGAGAGGAUGACCAGCCACACUGGGACUGAGACACGGCCCAGACUCCUACGGGAGGCAGCAGUGGGGAAUCUUGCGCAAUGGGCGAAAGCCUGACGCGGCCAUGCCGCGUGAAUGAUGAAGGUCUUAGGAUUGUAAAAUUCUUUCACCGGGGACGACAAUGACGGUACCCGGAGAAGAAGCCCCGGCUAACUUCGUG